rfam:Oryza sativa (indica cultivar-group) chromosome 2, whole genome shotgun sequence.
UUUAAGUGCAGUCAUGAGUUUUCGUGCCAAACUUUGAAUGUCUAUCUUAUUUGAAUUUUUUUUAUAAUUAGUAAUUUUGUUGUUAUGAGUUGAUAAAACAUGAAUAGUACUUUAUGCGUGACUUAUGUUUUAAAUUUUUUUAAAAAAUUUUCAAAUAAGACGGAUGAUUAAAGUUGAGUACGGAAAAACAUGGCUGCACUUAAA